rnacentral:rRNA from 1 species
AUACGGAGGGAGCAAGCGUUAUUCGGAAUCACUGGGCGUAAAGGACGCGUAGGCGAGUUUGUAAGUCAGGUGUGAAAUCCUACAGCUCAACUGUAGAACUGCACUUGAAACUACAGACCUAGAGUAUGGAAGGGGCAGAUGGAAUUAGUGGUGUAGGGGUAAAAUCCGUAGAUAUCACUAGGAAUACCGAAAGCGAAGGCGAUCUGCUGGGACAUUACUGACGCUGAGGCGUGAAAGCGUGGGGAGCAAACAGGAUUAGAUACCCCGGUAGUCC